ensembl:lncRNA
CCACUGUAGGGUCUAUACUAAGUCAUGAAAACACAUUCUUGAUGUGGAAGUUGUUAGUCCAAUGGAAUGAAGAAUAAACAUAUGAACUGAGUAUAGAAUUGUCUACACUUUGGUACCCUUGAGCUAGCAUUCUAUAGCUUGAGGCAUCAUGCUGCAUCUAAAUGACCAUACCUAUGGCAACACUAGAGAAGAAUCACCAAGGUACCUAUUUUACCUCCAUUCUAGUAAUUAUCUCCACAGUAGCUUAUUGUAUUUCAUUCAUCCCUCUUCAUAAAAAUGUUCCAUUUCAUCUUCAAAAGAGUUUGCAUUGAACAUCACCAAUACUACGUGAAGAAGUACUUAAUUUAUUAUCUUCUGUGGCUUUGGAUGGGACCAGAAUUGUCAAUAAUAUAAUAAGUCUUAGGUCACACUUGAUUUGCAUUCAGUUUACAUGUUAUUUUAUCAGAGGUUAACAAAAAAAAUUUGGCCUUGAAUUACCAGCAUAGGAAUAUCUUCUGAUAUAGGAAUAAAUAUAUUCUUCUCUUUUUUCCCAAAAUUGAAAAUGAAAGUCAUUCAGUUGUUUCCAACUCUUUGCAACCCAUGAGUCAGUCCAUGGAAUUCUCCAGGUAAGAAUACAGGAGUGAGUACCCUUUCUCUUCUCCAGGGGAUCUUCCCAACCCAGGGAUCGAACCCAGGUCUCCUGCAUUGCAAGUGGAUUCUUUACCAGCUGAGCCACAAGGGAAGCCCAAAAUAGAGUAAAAUUAAUUAUUCCCCCAAAUAGAAUAAAAUUAUAAAUAAAUGAAUUAUAAAUAUAAAUAAAUUAUAAAUAAUAUAGAUUCCAUAAAAUAGAAUAAAAUUAAUUAUUCCCCCAAAUAGAAUAAAAUUAAUAAGGCUAGCCCCUCUUGAAAAACGAAAUAGACACAACUUAACACAGUAAAUCAAAUAGACAUUCUCAGCUGGGUCAUAUCUGGAGAAAGUAGUGCUGAAAGCUGUAAGUGAUUCUUCAACACCUUCCAAAUUUAAACGAACACAAAAGUUCCCUUCAAAAUUACACGAGCAUGAUUAAUUGAGCUGCAAGCUGAGAAAGUGACUAUAUGUCAGGCAUAACAACAAAAAUAGAGAUUGGAGCAAUUUGUAAGUGGUGUGGCAGAUACAGACCUUGGGUCAAGUAACAGAAAAAAAGGCAAGAUUUUGCAAAUAAGUAACAUUGACAAAGGGAACAGGAGUGCAAAACAUCUGUAUCCUCCUUUCAGCUCAAUACUCACAGAAGCUACAUGCUCUAGUGAGGCGAGUUUGGGGUGAGGAAAUGCAGUUUCUAACUUAGCACCACUAAAUAAGUGUCUGACUUUGGCAAAUCUCCAUGUCCUGCCUCUACUUUUCUUCCUUGUCAAAUGGGUGUAACAGUAGCAGGUGUGUUAACUCACGGAAUGGGUCACGUGACCUAACAUUACAAAUGUGCAAGAAAUUACACAUAAAGUAUCAAACUUCCAAAAUAUGUAGAGUGUGGUCAGCAAAUCACUGCAAGGCCUGGCCUUUUAUCCUAUGAGUGGUCUUUUUUGACUGAAAAGAAGAAAUUUCAGUAAAAAAUUCCUUUUCAAAUCAUCACAUAAUCCAUAGAUCCAGAUGAUCUGGAGAGAAUUCUCUAUUCAUUUCCCUCACAUAGAAACAGAUACCAGAAUGAGACACAAUAGAAAGGUAACUUUUCUAGGCCUGUCCUCAGUAGUCAACUUCACUGAUCCCCAAGCACCCGCUUCCCAUGGAGGACUAGAUUCAUUCAACAAGUCGUUAUGGAACACCCACUCUGUGCAGGAGCAGUGCUAGGCCUGGGAAAUGGAGAAUCAAACUAGGUGUUUGUCCUUGAAGAGUUCACUCUACGGUUGACAAAUGGAAGAGGGAAACCCUACCAUUUGUUGAACACAGCACUAGCCAGGUACUUUCUCUAUGGUCUUACACAUUUCAUGACCAUUUUGCAGGUGACAAAAUGAAAAAUGGCAUUUAAAAGAAUUCUUCCUAAAAUCACAAAGCUGCUAAUUAGAGCACAGCAUGCUAGCCCAUUCUUUUCCUCGUGCACUUUAAUUCCUCAUGGAUCACCUACUAUGUGCCUGGCACAAUGCCAGACACUGGGGACACAGCAGAGAUUGAAAUACACAAAAUUCUCUCUUACAGUAUUUACUUAAUUGUGAGGGAAGACACAAAGAGCAAUAGACACAGGUCUGCCUGAACCAUAAUCUAAGAUCCUUCUACAUGCUGCCUUCCUCAAAGUCGUCACUUUGCAGGGGUGAGCAGGGGUGGGGGCGGGGGGAGAGGGAAAACCUGUAUACACAAAUAAUAAAACCAAACUGAAUAUCCCUAGUAAACCAGAAAUCUAGAAAGAAUGAAGCCAGAUGACAGAGGUUGCCAGACUUAGAAUGUCCUCUUCCAAAAUUGAACUUGAAUAUGUUUGCAUUUUGGUUGAGGGCCUGUCAGCUCAAAGGCAGGCUGCUCACAGACCACCAGCAGCAGCACAAGGACGAUCCCCGUCAGGCCACAGAUAUGAAAACCAGCUCUCCACCAGAAAGACCCGAGUUUUACAGGAAUUAAAAGGCCUGGGUGCCUGGCUCCAGGAGAUGGUGAGACAUGAUGAAAGCAUACGUCUGCCCGCCUGGCAGCGGCUCUCCCUGGCCUGGAGAGAAGGUGUCUACGCCAGCCAAGGGAAGCUGGCAGCAGCCGUGGCCUCGGAUGGAGAGAAGCUGCCGCCAGCCAGCACCAGCACGGGACUUCCCUACAGGCGGCCCUUGCUGAAACAAAGAGGGGCGAAGGGAAGAGCAUGGAUGUCCAGCCUCCAGGCUCAAAUCUGAAUUCAAGAGCAGUGCUUUGCUAAUGGGAUGCCGGAUCUGCUCCAAAACCUUCACACCAUCAGGGAUGCAAUCUGAGUAAUUUCCUGAUGACUCUUCUCUGCAUAAUGGAUUUGAGUUAUAAAGGAAUUUAUGCCCUCAGGACCAAAUUACCCAGAUAAUUGAAGAUACAAUAAGAUGGAGGGGGAGAAGUGAAAGGAGAGAGAAAGGCCUCUAUUAUAGGGAUUUCUCCUCCACUCUGAGGAACUCUGAGUUUGAACAUUUGAAUUCACUACAGCAUUUAAUUUUUAAAGUCAUUUUAUAUCCACAAACUGCCCUGGUUUGCCCAAGAAUUCCAUUGCUUUCUUGAGUACAGUGAAGCUGCAUCAAGGUCUAAUUUAGCGCAGGCUUGCAAGUUUGGGAGACUAAACCCACCCACUCUCCCCUGCCCCCGUCCUCCGAGAUGUGACUCCGCUUCCUAGUUUAAGCUUAGCAAUCAUAAUCAAUCUGUAACACUGCAUUAAGGUUUUGAUGGUGAUUUUAAAGACAGGUUGGUUUGAAUUCCUCAGAGCUGCACACCUACUCUGUUCCUCCUCACAGUGGUUCUCAUACUUGAAGGUACACAAAAAUUACUUGCAGGAUUUUAGGCACAAAAACUAGUAACACUGUCCUGUAUGGGUGCAUUAAGGGACUUCCAAAGUUAAUUUUGUCACCUCUGUGCUGACUUGACACCCCAAGCCCAGGGAAACUGUGUCCCCAAGGACACUGCUUGUAGGCCUAACUUUGGGAUUAAUAACAAUAAGGCAAGUGCAAAAUCUUGCUCCAUUCCUCACUCAAAAGAAGAAAUUCAUGAAAUGUCAGUGUCUAAAAGAUUUCAUAAAAUAUCCCUUUAUCCAUGUCUCUCAUCCAGGUUCUCUGCCCUGCCCUAGGAGGUGGGAAAGGGACACAAAGAAACUACGUUAGGAAACUUUCCCAGGAUUUGUUUGAGGUUUACUGAGAGACUUAGGCAUCUUCACUAUAGAUUUGUUAUUCAUCUGAGCCCAUUUUACUGUAUUUAAGAGCCUCAUUUUGUCAAUAUUUACAGAACUGGAUGGACAAAUGAAAGUCAAAGGCUCUAAAAUAUGGCUGGAGUCUUGAAGUCCCAGAGUCAGGGCUAGAACACAUGGUGGCAAACAUUGGUAAAUUUGCUAAAUUAUGCAUAGAAUUCACAAGGCACCCAACACUGGCCAGCUCCAAUAAAGUCUUCCAUGAAAUACCAAAGGGCUUGGUGGAUGAGGGUCAGAGGGUGGUGAGUAGUCUGUGAACAGGUGUUAAACCACUUAUUCAAGCACUCCUCCAAAUGGCCUAAAAGAUUUUCCCAGCAUCCUCCUGCUCUCGAUGAGUCACUGUGGGAAUGGCAGUGAGGUUUGGAGCUGAAUUAUAACCAUUCAGUGAAGCAUUUCCCUUCAGAC